AAUGGUUAAAAAGUAAUUAAAAACUUGAUAUUUUUUCGUUUUUUCUUAUGAUUUCCUUUCUGUGUGUUAUGAUUUCCUUUCUGCACGUAUUUUCCUGUUGCUGCCAUGCAGGUUUAAGCAAAAAUGAGCCACAAAAACUAUUAAGCAAUUACUGGUCAACUACACAAUUUUCGCCCCUAUGUACUCUUUGCUAGGGGUCAUAUAGUUGCAUUAUUUUCGAACAUACCUUCUGGCUAUUCUCUGGCCAUUAUCACCACGUUUCUUAUUAAAGUUUAAAGUUGUCCACCACGUGGUGUCGUUUUGUUGUGUAGAUCGAAUGAGUAAUUUGCGCAACCAUGCCAAAUCUCCCAGUUCUGUGCCCCAAAAAUUGGAACCAAUCCGUGUUUCCACAGGAAGAUUUGGAAGAAAUAAAAAAAUAUUAUUUUGGUCGCUUUAUAUUACCCAGGAUGACGAUACUGGAAAUAAAUGCGAUUUUCAGUAAAGGAGCGGCGACAUGUGGCUGGAUGGUUAAAUUUAAGCACAAUUUAGAAGUAGACGAGGGGUUAUACGACCGCAUAUUUAGUAUAUUAGGCGAACACAAACCGAUGAACUUUCGAAUUUCGGACCUGUUUGCGUUGAACAAAGAAGAUUUUUGUGUGAUUUAUAAAGUAAUGUGUCUAUGUCAGUGCAAUUUGUAGUGUAAGGAAA